CUUCUUUCAAAUAUAAAUAUGUAAGAGGAGGUGAUAAAACGAUUCAAAACUUCUAAACUGUUACCCCCAAACUUGAUAUACACCAGUCCACUUUCAAUCCCAGUGGACCUGCACAACCUGGAACAAAUAUUUUCUCACCCAUCAGGCACGUGUACACGGUUUCUACAAGUGCACCUGGCCAGGAAAUAAACAUAUACAGCGGAACCUCGGUUCUUGAACUUCUCACAUCUCAUACAAUUCGGUUCUCUACCAAAUUAUUUGGUAAAAAGAAAUGUCUCGGUUGUCGAAUUCAUUUUUGGUUCUUGACCAACCAGCCCUUUUGCGCUAGAACCUGUCUGACACGGCACGUUUAGGCACAAACAAAGGAGAGAACGUGUGCAGGAAAAAUUGAUUCAGUUCUCGAACAGCUUUCUGGAACAGAUGAAGUUUGAGAACCGAAGUCAGCCAUUCAAGCCCUGUUUACCGACUUACAUGGUUAGACCCUUUCAGUUGCAUGUUUCUAACUAUGUAACUUGCUAACGUUGUUAGCAGCUCUGCUUUUGGGAAACACGCUCCAGAGCCUGCCUGGGUACCGUGCUUCACUGGGAGUCUAUGAGAGCUUCGUACAUGGUUUUUUGCUUCGAUGAUGCAGAUUGGACAGGUAGAGCAGUCAGGUAUCUUUAACCCGCCUGGAAACCAGACUCCUCUGCAUGGUGAUUGGGAGACGUCUCAAAACGACAGCAAGCACCAAGAACACUGACAAGGGGCGCAGAAGCGAGUGACAGUUUAUCGUUCCGUAUGUCAGAUCUCACCAUCGGCAUUUGCAAACAUUCUAAAUAAAGUCGUUAUCAUUCAGUUUUU